rnacentral:lncRNA from 1 species
AUUGUAAAAGGGUUUGACUCGCCGCUGACCCCGGGUCAGGACUUUCUCUCCGCUAAUCCCGUUCUCUUUAAACACAAAACACUCUGCCCUCUUCCCUCGCAACAGUCGUCUUAAUCCCCCCGCGGCUGACACCCCGCGCGGCCCCGCCCGCGCCGAGCCCGCAGAGACGCGGCGGAGGGGACGGGGCACCGGCCCUCGGGGCACCUGCCGACCCGACCCGGACCCCGGGGAGCGGCCCGGGCCUGGCCGCGGGGGAGGCGGGACGGGCGCGCGGAGACAAAGGCGAGGAGGCCUGGAGCGCGGAGAAGGAGCGCGGAGGAGCCGGAGCCCGAGGGGAGGUAGAGGAGAGGGAGGGGCGGAGAGAGGCCUCGGGACGCGGAGGGGCGCCGCGGCUGCGGGGGCGGAGAGAGCCCGGAGAGGCGGGGGCGGGAGAUCGCCCGCAGCGGAGGGCGACGUCGGGGAGCCGGGGGCCCGGCCGCCCCCGCCCGGAGGGCACCGGGCCCCGCGCGCCGCCCGCCGCCGACACUGCCGGGUUCCCGGGGGCGCGCAGCUGGAGAGGAAGGGUGGGGGUGAGGGGCGAGGGCGGAGGGAGGGGAGCUCCGUGCCCCCCGCGGGGCCUCGCCUUCGGGCUGGGGUGGGCGGACCCCGAGCUGUGGGCGAGGGUGAGGGGUCCUAAGUCCCCUCCUGCCGAGCUCGGCCUCCGCGCGGUCCCCUCGCCGCCCCGACCCUGGGGGGCUGGGGGGCUGGGGGGCGGGGGCCAGGGCCCACCUCCCUCGGCUCCUCGCUCCGGGAGGCCCGCGCCCCCCAUCCUUCCCUUCCCUCCCGGCCGGGCCUUUCAAUCCCGCCAAACAGCCACGCUGGAAAAAGAGCCGCGCCAAGGCCAAGUCUGCUUUUCACUUGAAGUUUCCAAGGAAUCAAACCUAUUAUUACGUUCAGCCGCCGAUGUUUCUGGAGCCUCUGCCCGGAGGGCCGGGCUGCAGAAGUGGGGUGGGGGGUGGCGCGGGCCGUGGGUGCGGUUUCCCGAAUUAACUGGAUUUUUUCGAAGAAGAAAUCCGCGUGGCCCAGUCUUUGUUGCGAAAGUGAAGACGCGUGUUGAUCUGCUCCUAAAGGCAGGACUUGACCAGACCCACCAGCCCCGCGUCUGCAGAUCGCGCGCUCUGCCCGCUACCAGUUUGGAAAUCAUUUCACCAGCUACGAAACUGGAGUAAGCCACAGAAGGACCCCCACCCCGAGUGCCAUCUGGACGUGGACGAGGCCGUGGCAGUACCAUGAUGGCCACGCCGUGUUCGUGAACAGGGCCAGUGCGCCUUGGCAGGAGCGCAGUUCGCGGUUGAAUACGGUGCUCCCGGGCCUUGUGAAAUAUUCUCCCCACGAUCUGAAGUCGAAGAAACACUGCUGGAGAGAUAAGACCUCAAUCCUGAAACACGCAUCCUGGCUAAUUUCUACUCCCCCUGUCCCACGUUGUUUUAAAAUGGAAUCAUUAAAGAAUUAUUUGCUUUCUCCUCGUUGUUCAACAAAACAGAAUUGCUGAAUUUCAGGAAUUCCUGUUUUCAGAUCUUCCGGGGGUUUUUAACAACGUGGCUCGGGCCACCUGGCAGUCACUGUCUCUGCUGGCUUGGUAUGAGGCCCACAGGGGGAAAUGCCACACUAAAGUCCACCUUCCAGGAGAUGGGCUAAACUUUUUGUGGUCAGAAACAUUUCCAAUGUAUCCCACAUUACUAACAAUGUUGUGUCCGAUAGUCCAGCAAAGAUACAAAUGUGUUUAUAUGUGAACACAGCCCCAGGUCUGUCUGCCCCCUUAGCAGGUGCAGGGAGAUGUUGCAAAAAAGCCAGGCGAAGUCCACUGAACUCUGGACAUUUCAGAGCAGAUGAGGCCUGCGCCUUCCACCGCUUGGGGAGUCCACAGAGCAUCACAGAAUUUCUCAAAGUGUCUCCCAGAGGAGACUGUGUGUGGCAUUUAUUUUCAGAUUGUCUCACUAUCUAAGAUGCUGUUCUGCCCAGCAGUCCCUAUGUAUCCAAACACAUCAAAUUGCUAAAGCAAAAAAAAAAAAAAAAGAGAGAGAGAGAGAGAAAAGAAAAAAGAGGGAGACUUUAUUAUCUUGUUAGAAAGAAGCAACUGCUGUAGCUCUUGAAAUUUCUGCAAUCACCUUAAGGAAUGAGUGGUUGAAGCAAAAUUAUCAAAGUGACUCCAAAAAAAUUACACAUGUCAAUUGUCAAGUGAGCAUUUUACUUAAAGCUAUUCUCUAGCGCAGGCUGACCGUGGUUCUCAUUAACCUGCUAGCUCAGGCCCACGUUUGGAUGGACAGUCUAUGCUCAUUCCAGGACCAGAAAAAAAAAAUGUUGAGAAAAAUAUGAGGGGCUGAUGAAAUCAAUGUAUUUCGAUCUGACCAAAGGCUUUGUUCUUUUCAAAAAUAUAAUUUUCAUCUUUAUGCUGUGACUAAUGUCAAAACGUAUUUGCUACAGUAUAACUUUCAAAUGCAAUAUUUAAUGCUGUCAGAUUACUUGAAGACAAAGUUUUACAGAAAACUUUAAAAUCCAGAAAAAACUGCAAUGUACCAAUAAACACCUAGAAAAAAUAUAAUUAAAAAAAUUA